AUACAGAUGGCUAGUAGGCACACGAAAAAAUGCUCAACAGUGCUAAUUUUUAGAGAAAUGAAAAUCAAAACUGCAAUGAGGUACCACUUCACACUGGUUCAGAAUGGCCAUCAUUAAUAAGUCUACAAAUAACAAAUGCUGGAGAGGACAUGGAGAAAAGGGAACCCUCCCACACUGUUGUUGGGAAUGUAAGUUGAUUCAACCACUAUGGAAAACAGUAUGGAGGUACCUCAGGAAACGAAAUAUAGAACUACUGUAUGAUCAAGCAAUCCUAUUCCUGGGUAUAUAUCUGGAGAAAAUUAUGAUUCAAAAGAUACAUGUAACUCUAUGUUCAUUGCAGCACUAUUCACAAUAGCCAAGACAUGGAAACAAAUGUCCACCAACACAUGAAUGGAUUAAGAAGAUGUGGUGUAUGUACACAAUAGAAUACUACUUGGUCAUAAAAAGAGCAAAAUAAUGUCAUUUGUAGCAAUAUAGAUGCAACUAGAGAUUCUCAUUCUAAAUAAGGUAAAUGAGAAAGAGACAGAUACCAUAUAUCACUUAUACAUGAAAUCAUAAAUAUGACACAAAUGAACUUGUCUACAGAACAGAAACAAACUCUCUAGACAUGGAGAACAGGUUUGUGGUUGCCAAAGGGGAAGAGGAGGGAGUGGAUGGACUGGGAGUUUGGGGUCAUUAGAUGUAAAUUAUUACAUUUAGAAUGGACAAAUAAUAAGGUUUUACUACAUAGCACAGGGAAGAAAAACCAGUAUCCUGGGAAAGAUCGUGAUGGAAAAUAAUAUAAUAAAGAGUAUAUUAUAUGUAUAAUUGAGUCACUUUGCUGUACAGAAAUUGGCACAUUAUAUAUCAACUAUAUUUUAAUUAAAAAGAAAAAGAAUUUGAAAGAGUCCUUCUGCGUACACCUGCAUACCAAUAUGCUUUCUUUUUGGCACAAAAUAAUAUCAUACUACAAAGUUCGUAUAUUUUACUAAAGAUAGCGGAGCCAGUGCAGUGAAGUGAUUAUACCUAUGGGGUCUGAUAUCACACAGCACAAUUUCGACUCCUAGGUAAACAGUGUGAUAUUAGGUCUACUACAUAAUCCCUCUCUAAAAUUUAGUUUUUACUCUCACAAACUGGGAAUAAUAAAAAUGUUAGUUGGAGUUCCCAUUAUGUCUCAGCAGUAACGAACAUGACUAGGAUCCAUGAGGACAUGAGUUCAAUCCCUGACCUCAUAUAGGGGGUUAAGGAUCUAGCAUUACCAUGAGCUGAGGUGUGGGUCGCAGAUGCAGCUUGGAGUUGGUGUUGCUGUGGCUGUAGUGUAGGCUGGCAGCUGUAGCUCUGAUUCAACGCCUGGCCUGGGAACUUCCAUAUGCAUUGGGUGCAGCCCUAAAAAGACUAAAUAAAUAAAUAAAUAAAUAAAUAAAAUGUGUUAGCUAAUAGGGUUGUUCUCAUAUUUAACUAAGGUAAAACUCAGUGUUUUUAUAAUCCUUAGCAUAACAUAAUCACCCAAUAAAUGUUAACCACCAUUUUAUUAUCUGUUCCUUUAAAUAGCCUAGUUCUAAAAUGAUGUGAUUUUAAUGAUUUAACACACAAGAGCACCAAAAAACAAAUAUAAGCUAAAUUGCUUUUGUCUUAGGUAUUUUUUUGUGCUUUGCAUCACUGUUUAUUUAAGACUCCACAUGUAUGUAACUCAGAUGAUUGUUAUCAAGGUGGAACAAUGGAUUCAGGAGGAAACUGAUUUUGAGUGUAUAAAAUACGUUGUACAUUUUCUACUUGAAAUCCAUUUAAAAAUAUUCAUAUCACACAGGGAAAAACAAUCUUCAAAAGGACCCAUCUGCUAAAAGAAUAUCUCCACUAAAAUAACUUAUGGUUAAAAGACAGUUUUAUCUAAAGAUCUCAAAAGAAUACAGUCAUUAAUUAAAUAUUCCUCCGAAAUAUCAUUAACAUAUGCUGUGUUAAUUUUAUUGUUAGAAAAUGUCUGUCAAAUGAAAAUGUUCAGAAAGAGGAUUCUGGUGCUCCCAUUAGUAAUCUAGGCCAGAAGGUAAAACACAACAGAGAGGGGAUGAACCUGAGAAGAAAGACUUUUUAGCCAACUGUACUAAGUCAUCUGUAGACAUUUCAUAAAAAUGAUCUUUCUCUCAAAGACUCCAAGCACAAAGGAAAUAAUUUGUAAUCAUUUGAAUAGAGUUCCUUCUCCUCUUUCUGCUCAUUUAUUCAACUGUUCAAUAAGUAGUUUGAAUCUAAGACGUUUCAGGCGAGGCCAAGCAUUUAUCUUGCAUUAUGUCAUCCAAUUUUAUACUUAUUUACAAAGUAGAUACUAUGAUUGACUCUACUUAUAGAACAGAAGUUGUAGGAAUUAAGGAAUGCAAAAGAACAGGAAAUAAUGAAUGUUGGCGAUGGUGUGGAGAUAUUGGAAGACUUAUAUAGCUAGUGGUGCAGCCACUGUGGAAAGAAGAAUGGCAGUCUCUCAAAAAAUAAACAUCAAAUUACCAAAUGAUCCAGUAAUUUCACUCCUGGGUAUACACCAAAAAUACUUGAAAAGACUCAACAGAUAUUUAUAUAUUCACCUACAUUGCUGCAUAAUUCACAAGAACCAAAAGGUGGAAGCAACCCACAUAUCCAACGACAGAUUAACAGAUGAACAAAGGUGAUAUACACAUAAAUGGAAUAUUAUUCAGCCUCAAUAAGGCAAUUCUUACUCAUGCUACAACGUGGAUAAACCUUGAAACCAUCAUAAAAGGACAAAUACUGUAUGAUUCCACUUACAUGAGGUGCCUAGAAGUGGUCUAAUCCAUAGAGAUGGAAAGUAGAGGACCAGUGGCUGCCAGGGGCUUGGAAGAAGGGGAGGUAGUGUUUAGUGAGCACAGUUUCGAAAGAUGAAAUAGUUCUACAGAUGGGUAGUGACGAUGAAGAACACUGUGGAGAGACUUGAUGCCGCUAACUGAACACUUAAAGUGGUUAAAACAGCAAAUUUUGUUAUGUACAUUUUACCAAAAUAAAAUCCAGUUAAAAAAAGAACAGUUCAUUAAAAGUGUAUCUAGAAUUGAAAAAGGUGCCUGAGUCACAGAGAAACUGGAGAACGGACUGUUUCUAAGUCCCCUGUGCUGCCCUGCAGUGUUCCGCUACACUGGACAUGCCGGGCAGCCAAAGGGGGCCUGGAAAUGGCUGUCUGAAUGGGAACAUAAGAACGAUUAUGUGCGCAAAUUAUAAAUUUAUUAAUUAACAUAAUUCCUUGUGAAUUUUAAAUAGUGUAUUCUGAAAGCAGUACACUAAUUUGGAAUAAUGAUUUUCUCCAGUCUCAUUUUUCGUGGAAGUAUCUGAUUUAAACUCUGAAUCUACAUCUUCUUUGCUCUUUCUAGAACCAAGUUUUGAGUUUUCUAAAAACUUUCCAGAGUAAAUGAUUUUCACUACUGUUUACACUAUGUUUUAAUGUUCGGGACAUAGUACUUUUGGCAUCUGUGUCUGCUAAUAUCAUGGAAAUGUUAUUCUAAGCGGCGAGUACUUAAUCGUUUGGUUUUGAUGGCUAUUUUUUCUUAUUCAUCUUAUAUGCACCUUAAUGUAUACAUAUUAUAAUAAUUAAAUAUAGUGUAUGGAAUGUAAUGUAUAUAUUAUAAUGUAACAGGUGUAUAUUGUUUAUACUUACAUACCAUAGUCACGUAACUUAUUGUAUGCAUCCUCAAAAUGUGAUACACAUAUCUUUCUUAAAAUUACAGUCAACACUUUCAAUUAUAAAAUUACACAUCCAAGGAACAAUUUCUGAAUUCAUGUUAUUUUUUAAUAGAUUCUGUCAAGUAAUAUUUUUGUACACUCCAAGAUAGCAAUGAUUGAUUCUUAGGCUAAAAUGAUUUAUUCAAACAGUACUUUUUUCAAAAUUAAGUAUUUAAAAAAACAUUCUGAAAUAUGAAAGACUUGUUAGAGUGCUAAUGAUAUCAUUUUCUUUUCUGAAAGAGACAUUUUUUGAGUGGUGGACUAAAAAUGUUAUUGUUUUAUAUUAAGCAUACAUAGUAAGGUAUUCAAGGCAGAAAUUUUACAAAGAUUUUGGAAAGUGACUCAAGAGGGUUAGCCUUAUUUUCAUUCUCUUUAUUUUUCUGUUUCCCAUGGUAUCUCUUUUAUCCUAAGAUGAUUCUUCCUGA
ensembl:lncRNA